UACGUAGGGGGCAAGCGUUGUCCGGAUUUAUUGGGCGUAAAGAGCGUGUAGGCGGUUUGGUAGGUCCGCUGUGAAAACUCGAGGCUCAACCUCGAGACGCCGGUGGAAACCAUCAGGCUAGAGUCCGGAAGAGGAGAGUGGAAUUCCUGGUGUAGCGGUGAAAUGCGCAGAUAUCAGGAAGAACACCGGUGGCGAAGGCGGUUCUCUGGGCCUGACCUGACGCUGAGGAGCGAAAGCGUGGGGAGCGAACAGG
rnacentral:rRNA from 1 species